GCAGUGCCUCUGAACAAAGAAGUUACGAAAAAAGUAGGAGAAAGACUCUAGGAUCAAGAGCUUAACUGCUCUUUAAAUUCUCAAGGUUGGGCAAGUUUCUCAUCUACAAAAUGUGGGCAUUGGACCAGGUGAUUUCCGAAGUUCUUUGUAUCUCCUCCUAAUUUUCACUGACUCCCAUCCCAGACCAGCUGUUUGAAACUAGUAAUGUGAUUGUCUAGAAAAUUCUUUUCAUUUAAAGAAGAAUUUUUGUAAUAUUUGCCAUAUAUAGAAGAGACAUAGAUAACAUAAAAUGAUGAGGCAGAGUGAUUUUUAAAAAGUAAACUGACCAUCCAA